AUGAACGCUGGCGGCGUGCCUAAUCCAUGCCAGUCGCGCGAACAGACGAGGAGCUUGCUCCUCUGACGUUAGCGGCGGACGGGUGAGUAACACGUGGAUAACCUACCUAUAAGACUGGGAUAACUUCGGGAAACCGGAGCUAAUACCGGAUAAUAUAUUUAACCGCAUGGUUCCAUAGUGAAAGACGGUUUUGCUGUCACUUAUAGAUGGAUCCGCGCCGCAUUAGCUAGUUGGUAAGGUAACGGCUUACCAAGGCAACGAUGCGUAGCCGACCUGAGAGGGUGAUCGGCCACACUGGAACUGAGACACGGUCCAGACUCCUACGGGAGGCAGCAGUAGGGAAUCUUCCGCAAUGGGCGAAAGCCUGACGGAGCAACGCCGCGUGAGUGAUGAAGGUCUUCGGAUCGUAAAACUCUGUUAUUAGGGAAGAACAAAUGUGUAAGUAACUAUGCACGUCUUGACGGUACCUAAUCAGAAAGCCACGGCUAACUACGUG
rnacentral:rRNA from 1 species